rnacentral:rRNA from 1 species
AUGGUCAAGUUUGUGGGUGAAUUUUUGGGCCGAACUGACUUCAACCGGGCUUUCUCUCAUAAAGAGUAUGCAAAGAUAGAAAGAGCUUUGAAAGGGGUCCAAGUUGAAACUAUCCAUCAUACUGAUAGAACUAUGAAGUACAGAAUUAAAGGGCUUAGUGUUGUCCCUUUGAAAGAGCUCAUGUUUUCUGUAGAUGAUGAUGGUAUCAUGACCACCGUUGUUGAUUAUUAUCAGAGUCGGUAUAAUUGCAAAUUGGAAUAUAUUCACUGGCCAUGUCUGCAGUGUGGUGUCUCUGGCCGUCAGAUUUAUUUACCCAUGGAGGUUUGCAAGCUUGUGCAAGGGCAGAGAUACCGGCAAAAGCUUAGUACCACACAAGCAGCGAAGUUGCUGAAAAUAACCUGCAAACGUCCUCAGAAUAGGCUGAACGGAAUAUUAAAGGCUGCGAGAGGUAAUUUUGAUGUUGAAGAGCUUACAGAGGGGGAGUUCUCGGCCAGUGGAUUUCCCAAAGUGCUUUAUGGAUCUGUUCUAUCCGCACCUUUGUUGAAAUAUGGAAAUGAAGAAAUUUUUAUGCCCAUUGGUGGACAAUGGAAUAUGGCUAACAAGGUAUUUGAAGGAAAGCCAUUGGCAGUCCAGCAAUCAAGCAAUUUUAUGGACAUACAAUCCGCCUUGGAGUCUCUUUUGAGUUAUAUUUCGGAAUUAUUCACUGACGAGGGAAAUUGCCAGCGGCUCCAAUUGCUUAUUGUAGUUUUGCCAGAAGAAAAAGGGCACUACGGUACUAUCAAGCGCAUUUGCGAGACACAACUUGGAAUAGUAUCUCAAUGUUGCUUACCGAAGUAUGUGAAAGCAAAAGUAAAUGUGGAAUACCUUGAAAAUGUUGCACUUAAAAUUAAUGUGAAGGCCGGAGGACGGAAUGCAAUUCUCCAGGAAGGAUUGCCAUUCUUGUCAGAUAUUCCAACAAUUAUUUUUGGUGCUGAUGUCAGCCAUCCCUCACCAGGAGUGUACUCAUCUUCUGUUUCGGCGGUGAGUAUCUUAAUAUGUGUAAUCUCCGCCCAACAGCCAAAGCAGGAGAUUAUAACAAAACUAUUUCAGGUUACUCAAGAUUCAAAUGGGUGUGUAAAAACUGAUAGCAUGAUAAAGGAGCUUUUGUUGAAUUUCUACCAGAAGAAUCGUCGUAAGCCUGAACGCAUCAUUUUCUACAGAGAUGGAGUAAGCGAAAGCCAGUUCAGCCCAGUUCUGCUUCAUGAAGUAGAUGCUAUCCGAAAGGCAUGUAUCUCUUUGGAUGAGCAUUAUGUUCCACCAAUUACGUUUCUGGUUGUCCAAAAAAGACACCAGACAAGGCUCUUUCCUUUGCCGACCACCAGGAAACCUGAACCCAAAGGAAUCAGGAAACCUGAGCCCAAAGGAAUCCUCCCUGUUCCGCCGGUGUACUACGCGCAUCUUGCUGCGUCACGGGGGCGGAGCUACCAGGGCAAUUUUGGUGAUGGUUCAAGCAUAAGGGAAACAACACCAGGUGACGAACUACCUGAGUUCCUACAAGUCCCAAAGAUCCACGAGAAUGUGUCGGAGGUCAUGUUUUACUGCUGA